rnacentral:rRNA from 1 species
CCUACGGGGGGCAGCAGUGGGGAAUUUUGGACAAUGGACGCAAGUCUGAUCCAGCAAUGCCGCGUGCAGGACGAAGGCCUUCGGGUUGUAAACUGCUUUUGUACGGAACGAAACGGUGAGCUUUAAUACAGUUUGCUAAUGACGGUACCGUAAGAAUAAGCACCGGCUAACUACGUGCCAGCAGCCGCGGUAAUACGUAGGGUGCGAGCGUUAAUCGGAAUUACUGGGCGUAAAGCGUGCGCAGGCGGUUAUAUAAGACAGAUGUGAAAUCCCCGGGCUCAACCUGGGACCUGCAUCUGUGACUGUAUAGCUAGAGUACGGUAGAGGGGGAUGGAAUUCCGCGUGUAGCAGUGAAAUGCGUAGAUAUGCGGAGGAACACCGAUGGCGAAGGCAAUCCCCUGGACCUGUACUGACGCUCAUGCACGAAAGCGUGGGGAGCAAACAGGAUUAGAUACCCCAGUAGUC